UUUAUUGAGAGUUUGAUCCUGGCUCAGGAUGAACGCUGGCGGCGUGCUUAACACAUGCAAGUCGAACGAGAACCAAUGGAUCGAGGAUUCGUCCAAGUGAAGUUGGGGAAAGUGGCGGACGGGUGAGUAACGCGUGAGCAAUCUGCCUUGGAGUGGGGAAUAACGGUUGGAAACAGCCGCUAAUACCGCAUGAAGCAGUUGAGGGGCAUCCCUGUGACUGCCAAAGAUUUAUCGCUCUGAGAUGAGCUCGCGUCUGAUUAGCUAGUUGGCGGGGCAACGGCCCACCAAGGCGACGAUCAGUAGCCGGACUGAGAGGUUGGCCGGCCACAUUGGGACUGAGACAC
rnacentral:rRNA from 1 species